rnacentral:rRNA from 1 species
GAUGAACGCUAGCUACAGGCUUAACACAUGCAAGUCGAGGGGAAACGAUAUUGGAAGCUUGCUUCCGAUAGGCGUCAACCGGCGCACGGGUGAGUAACGCGUAUCCAACCUGCCCAUCACUUGGGGAUAACCUUGCGAAAGUAAGACUAAUACCCAAUGAUAUUUAUAGAAGGCAUCCGAAAUGAAUUAAAGAUUUAUCGGUGAUGGAUGGGGAUGCGUCGGAUUAGCUUGUUGGCGGGGUAACGGCCCACCAAGGCGACGAUCAGUAGGGGUUCUGAGAGGAAGGUCCCCCACAUUGGAACUGAGACACGGUCCAAACUCCUACGGGAGGCAGCAGUGAGGAAUAUUGGUCAAUGGGCGAGAGCUUGAACCAGCCAAGUAGCGUGCAGGAUGGCGGCCCUAUGGGUUGUAAACUGCUUUUAUAGGGGAAUAAAGUGAGCCACGUGUGGUUUUUUGCAUGUACCCUAUGAAUAAGGACCGGCUAAUUCCGUGCCAGCAGCCGCGGUAACAC